rnacentral:lncRNA from 1 species
UUAUGUUCUAUAAAGAUUUAUUGUGAAUAGUCAUGCUAAUACACCCCAUGAUAUGGCAUUGUUAUUAUUUUUAGCAAACCUACACUGAUAUUUGCUUAGCUAGUUAACAUCACAGUUUCCUUUAUUGGAGCCUUGGAGUAGUCUAUGCACAUUGUACACCUGCACAAUUUGCCAACAAUAUGAGCCUCCAAAUUGCAUUCCUUGUUCUCAGGGCACGUUAGGAUUCGGUGGCAAUCUUCCUAACAACCACCAAACUUCUUCAGGUAUUUAAACGUACACCUUCGGUUUGUAUCCGCAUCUGCAAAAUAUUACCAACAAGAAGAAAUCCAAAUCAUGAAAAGAACAUUUUUGUUAAUUGGGUUGAUGCAACACUCUUGGAGGAACCAAUUAAACGUACUUGAUGCUAGCACGAGAAAGGCGAGUGUCAGGAGUAGUGUCAAAGCUGCAAUCUUCAUCCUAACUUGUAUGUGGCGU